AUUUUUAAGUUUGUUGCAAAGAAAUUGAAAUUUGUUGAACGUAUUAAUAUUUUAAAUUAUAUAUGUUCAGCAUAUCAUUUCAAAAACAUACAAGUCAGUAAUGAUUUCUCAUUAUAAAAAGAAUAAAAUGAUAAAGUGAUCUUUUUAUAAUAUCGACUAUCCACCAAUGAGAAGGAUUCAGUACUAAGUAUAUUAACAUCAUAUAAUUUAUUUACCUCAGACAGUAAACAUGGGAUGUAUGAACACAAGUAUUAAAUCAAACUGAAUUGAUGAACAGGUAAAACAUAAUAACAGUGUAUAUACAAUAUACUACAAUAUUGAAUAAAGUACGGAUAUUUUUAAAUGUAGAAAUGAAUUAUUGGUUCAUAACUUCCUUUUUUAAACAAUAAGUAACGUAUUUCAUUUAGCUUAUCGUGAGAUUGGCAGUGAAUUAAGAAUUAAAUAAAAAAACUUCUAUCAACACAUGUUAUCUACAAGAUUGUAGCUAACCAACAGGACCUUACACAAUGAGAUUGUCUUGAUAAUAGACACUGAAUAAAAUUAUAUCGGAAUGUUUGCACAAUUAAACCUUGAGAAAACAAAGAAGAUAUUUAUAUUUAUAUCCAGAAAGCUUAUAUUAAUAAUAUACAAGUGACGCUGAUUUUGAGUAGUCAAAAUUAAUGCACUUUUGUAACCAAAGCUUUCACAUCUUAAAAACUUGAAGCCAACAACUUUUGGAAUACUUUCACAAAAUUGAUGAAUUGCUUCAUCCAUCUCAUUCUCUAUUGGGAAACGUCGACCACAUAGAUGUUUAUUUAGGGUAAAGAACAACCAGAAACCAUACAUCUGAAAUAGGGAGAAUCUUCGAACUUAAUUGCUUCCAGAAAUCUUGUACGAUGAAACAAAAAUGCGUACAUAUCUCAGCAUCUGUGACUAUUUUAGAAAUAAUACGAUAUAGAUUAUUAUUUAACAUUUCUAAGGUUUCCUGUGCGAUUAUUACUUGCCUUGUCCACCGAACAAGUACCAAUUUUUUCCCAUGAAAAUGAUGAUACAAAACUAAAUUUACUGUUGCGAGACCAAUACUAAGAGUGAUCUCAAUCACUUGAUAGAUACAUCUUGAAUCUUCUUCGAUAAUACGUCUCAUUCUCUCAAUGUUUCCAACAGUAGCUAAAGAGUAGAACCUACAAGCACGUGCCUCAUCACCAAGUGAUAUGCGUCCCCUUUCAAAUUCGCUCGUUACCGCUUUUAUCACCAAAUGUACACUGCAACUGUUGCUGAUUUUGUUAUUAACCUUGAAAUCAUAGAAGAUUACAGCGCGCACAUGUUCUCUUGACAAAAUUCAUAUUCCGAUGCAAUAUGGUAUGUACCACUCAACUGCAGCUAGAUUUUACUACUUAACCUUCCAUUAGUCGCGCCUGUAUCUACGAGAUACAUGGCUAACUUUUUGCUAAAUAUUUAUGUAAUAGUUCUAGAAAAUGGAAAUUUGCAGUAGUUCUCGGCAGAUGUAUCUCGAAGCCUUUCCUAGAAGUAAAAUCGGCUGAUUUUACUUUUACAACCCCUGGCCACCCUAAACCCGUCCGACCGCCGGAUUUGUAUCUGCUAGAUACAGCGCGACCAAAAGCGGCAGUUUAUAUUCAGAUUUAGUUGGGAUAAGUUCUCGUUCAUUUCGACGUUUUGUAAUUAUUCAAACGAAAAUUUUGUUGUUUUUAAGUUUUUAUUUGUUUAUUUGGAUAUACAAAAAAUGAAAUGUUAGUUUCAUAUGUCCCGAAAAAAGGAAAAACCGUAGUCCUUAUUUCCAGUUUGCAUGUGGCGUCGAACGAAGUGGAAGAAGAUGCUUCAAAAAAGCCAGAAAUAAUAUCAUUUUAUAACAACACAAAAUCCGGCGUUGAUGUGGUCGACAAGCUUUGCGCUACUUAUAAUGUUGCUAGAUCAACUAAGAGGUGGCCUGGUAAUUUUUUACCAUUUAUUGAACGUAGCUGGAAUCAACUCGCCGGGUGAUAUUGCUUGGAAACAAAAAUACGUUUGUCACAAGAAGAGAAUAUUUGAAAAAAUGAGGACUAGCCUUGCUAGACGAACAACUAAAAGUGAGGGCCCAAAUAAAAAGUCUUCCACGACAAACCAAAGAUUUGCUCAAAAAUUACAAAACCUUGGAAGCACAACAAGAAGUUCAAGAGGCAACACCUGGACCAAGUAAUAGAAAGCGAUGCGAACCAUGCUAUGUAGAAAAUAAGAAAACGUCACUGUCUGCAUAUUGUUGUAAAAAAUGUGGAAUUUAUUUAUGUACAAAACUUCAUACAAAUAUGAUUUGUAAUAAAUGUUAUAAUAAAGAAAUUGAAGAGGGUGAUUACUCCGAUUAAUUUUAUAAGUUUGUAAAAUAUUUUGAAUAAAUAAUGUAACUUUAAACCUAGUUCUGUCGAUAACCUAAUUAAAAUUUUACACAUUUUACAUAUAAAAUAAUUAUUUUUUUUUACUUGAAAAAAUGUUAAAUUAAAAGUGGAGAAAAGAAGUAUUCAUAUAAAAUUUGCUGUAUUAAUAUAUUAAAAAUAAUAAUAACAAAAAAAAA